UACGGAGGGUGCAAGCGUUACCCGGAAUCACUGGGCGUAAAGGGCGUGUAGGCGGGUCGGCACGUCGGUCGCUGAAAUCCCCCGGCUCAACCGGGGAAGUGGCGCCGAUACGGCCGGCCUGGAGGGGGGUAGGGGGGCCUGGAACUUCCGGUGGAGCGGUGAAAUGCGUUGAGAUCGGAAGGAACGCCCGUGGCGAAAGCGAGGCCCUGGACCCCAUCUGACGCUGAGACGCGAAAGCCAGGGGAGCGAACGGG
rnacentral:rRNA from 1 species